AAGACAUAAAAUAAAACAUAGUGUGAUAUUGUAACAACACAGUUUCGUUGUUACAAUAUCACACUGUUUUAUUUUGUCUU